AAUGAACGCUGGCGGCGUGCUUAACACAUGCAAGUCGAACGAUGAAGCCUAGCUUGCUAGGUGGAUUAGUGGCGCACGGGUGAGUAAUAUAUAGAUAAUGUGCCUCUUAGUCUGGGAUAGCCAUUGGAAACGAUGAUUAAUACUAGAUACUCCUUCUCUUUUUAAUGAGAGUUGGGAAGGUUUUUCGCUAAGAGAUCAGUCUAUAUCCCAUCAGUUAGUUGGUAGGGUAACGGCCUACCAAGACAAUGACGGGUAGCGGGUUUGAGAGGAUGAUCCGCCACACUGGUACUGAGACACGGACCAG
rnacentral:rRNA from 1 species